rnacentral:rRNA from 1 species
GACGAACCGUGCGAACGUUGUUCGGAAUCACUGGGCUUAAAGGGCGCGUAGGCGGGCUCGCAAGUCAGGGGUGAAAGCCCGCGGCUCAACCGCGGAAGCGCCUUUGAUACUGCGGGCCUCGAGGGGGGUAGGGGCGUGCGGAACUUCCGGUGGAGCGGUGAAAUGCGUAGAUAUCGGAAGGAACACCGGUGGCGAAAGCGGCGCGCUGGACCCCUUCUGACGCUGAGGCGCGAAAGCCAGGGGAGCAAACGGG